rnacentral:rRNA from 1 species
AAAAGAAGAUCAAGAAGAGCUUCAGAAUGAAGCUUUCUUGAUGGAGGGGAGCGGCAGACGGGUGAGUAACACGUGGGAACAUACCCAUCUCUGCGGAACAACUCCGGGAAACUGGAGCUAAUACCGCAUAAGCCCUUCGGGGGAACGAUUUAUCGGAGAUGGAUUGGCCCGCGUUGGAUUAGCUAGUUGGUGGGGUAAAGGCCUACCAAGGCGACGAUCCAUAGCUGGUCUGAGAGGAUGAUCAGCCACAUUGGGACUGAGACACGGCCCAAACUCCUACGGGAGGCAGCAGUGGGGAAUAUUGGACAAUGGGCGCAAGCCUGAUCCAGCCAUGCCGCGUGAGUGAUGAAGGCCUUAGGGUUGUAAAGCUCUUUCACCGAUGAAGAUAAUGACGGUAGUCGGAGAAGAAGCCCCGGCUAACUUCGUGCCAGCAGCCGCCGCAG